rnacentral:lncRNA from 1 species
AAAAAAGAACGCGUCCUUCUUUUAUAUCCGCCUCCUUCAUCAAACUUCCCACCUCUCCACCCGACAGAACCUUCUCCAUCUUCAAUCCAGUCGACCACCACCUCUGAUCAGCACCCCCGUCGCCACCCUCCUCUUCGAUCCAAGGCGUCCAGCGACCCGGCGACAUCUCGACCAGUCGACAGCCGCGAUCUAGGCCACCAGCGAAUAGGUUUCGACAUCCCCUUACGUUUUUUUCGGUUCCAACAUGAAAUUGAACAUUAAUCUUGCUGGGAAAACUCUUUAAUGCAUUGAAAAUCUUGUUUCUUGCUUCAAUUUCUUGUUAACUGUUUCUUGCUUCAAAUUCUUGUUUCUUGCUUCAAUUUCUUGUUAACUGUUAUUGCUAGGAAAACUCUUUAUAGACAAAGGACUGCUGCCUUUUCUUUUCAUGUUUAUGUUCACGUCAAAAGGUUGAAUGUUGUCAAUAUCAAACUGCUGCCUUUUAUUUUUGGAAAAUCACACUUUAAUCUAAAAAUUCAUAAGGCCAAAAGGUUGAAAAUAAUAGAAAUAAUGUUGUGAAUAGUAGAAAUAAUGUUGUGAAUGUUGUGAAUGUUGUGCUGAAAAUGUGAAAUAAUGAUGUGAAUGUUUUCAUUUUGCUGAAAAUACUCUUUAUUAUCUCAAAUUGGUGUUGAAUGUUACUUGUUGAUUGUUUAUUGUUAUUUGGUUUUGAAAAUACUCUUUAUUGUUUCAAAUCAUUAUUUUUUUGUUGGAAUGUGUAUGAUAUUGCACACCAAGUGUUCGAUAAAAGUCCUCAAAGAAAUCAAAAGUUUUAUUAGAUCAAGAACAGGGGCCGAUGCAUCUUUAACACAUCCUGGUGUUUGCAAAACCCCCAAGCAAUGUAUAUAGAAGUGUAUAAAGAAUGAAAUACCACUUUUGAAAUUAUUACUCAUGUUCUUUGUGAAAGCAGGAUAAGAGCCUCCUUUUGAAUCAAGUUGUGGUGUUUGUGUCAUGUUACAUGUCAAUGGCAAUGAUAACAAAUGAGUUCAAAACACAUAGAUUGAUUAUCAAGAUUGCUCGAUGCUCAAGCAAGAAACUAGACUUUGUUAAUGACGAUCAAAUGACCAUAUUGUGCUAAAUGUUGUAGUUGCAUCUCAAAGAAGAAGAUCAAGAGGAUGGAUUUUUAAAGUUCUUUCAUUGUAAAAAUAUUGAUAUUAUAUCAUUUUGUUUGUUGUAGUUUAUUAUUAUUAUAUAUUAUAAAUAUUGUUUAUAUAUGAUUUGUUUGUUGUAGCAUUUUCUUAUCUAUUAUGAUGAAAUAAUUAUUAGAUGUUGUAAAACUCAAAUAAAAUGUUGUAAAAGUAGUUUAUUUAAAAUUCAGUUUAUUUUUCAGCAGUCUGCAGAUGUAAAAAAACAAACAGACUUCUUAUUACAGAAUGCAGACGUUUGGUCCACCUCUUCUGUUGCAGAGACUUGCAGACGUGGUCCGCAGACUGCAGACAUUUUGACUUCAGAAAAACAAACAGCACCUUAGUGUGUAAGCUUGUGGAACAUUGUCAAAUCUCAACCUCCUCGAGCAAUGACAAGCGAGUUGUCUUUAAAAAGGUAAUGGUCAUCGAUGGAUAAAUGUAAGCCUUUUGAGUUUCGAGGCGUCAAGUUCUAGUAGUUACUUUUUAAGGGUAAUUACAUGCACCACAACAUAUACAUAGUCACAUGCACCACAGCAUAUACAUGUAACUUAUUUAACGUACUUAUUUAGCUAAACUAGAUUAUUUUAAUUUCAUAGUAUCAUCUAAGGAUCGAUGAGUGCAUGCUAGUUUGGUACUUGUGGUUAAUGUUGAUUAUUUUUUGUAAGUUAGUUUGAUACUUUGGUAAUUGGUUGUUUGGUUUAUAAUUAUAUUUUGGUAAUUUAGUAGUCUCGUAAUUUUGUAGUUUGAUUUACAUUGAAACUUUGGUAGUUUGGUAAUUUGAUAUGUUGGUAAUCGCUAGUUGUGUUGUUUAUGUUGAUAGGUUGGUAAUUUCUUUUAUUUUAGUUUGUCCUUAUAACUUAUAAGUUUAAUAUUGUUUUAGCAUUAUAUGUAAUGUUUGUAUAUAUUUAUUUUGUAGAAGAAUUUUCUUGAUACUCUUUUGAACGACUUGAUGCAUAAGGAGAGACUUGAAGACAUUAUUCGAUCAUUCUCAACCCAAAUCCAAAUAAUAGUGAGGGCAAUAACAAGGGGAACAUCAACAAGGGAGAUGAGGAUAAUGACACGUCCAGGUAGUUUUUUUUUUAUGUUUUUAUGUAACAAAUAACUUUAAUAUUAUAUUUUUUGUAGAAAUUUUUGUGUUUUUAUUAUAAUGUUGUUGUUUUCUA